AAGAGGAAAAGCAGUCAGACCUAGCCCGCGCCCCCGUAGCCGCCUCCUCUCCUGCCGCCGCCGCCUCGGCCUUGUUCGCCUCCUCUCCUGCCGCCGCCACCGCCUUGGCCUCGGCGCCCAUGCUCUCCCGGCGCCCGUCGGCCUCGAUCCGGCCUCAGUAGGAGGAGCUCGGCCUCGAGACUCGGCAGGAGGAGCUCGCCCUCGAGUAGGACUCAACAGGAGGAGGGGAGCAGCAGCUGCGCCCCAUGCUCUCUCGCCACCCUCGAGGUGAAGGUAACGGAUGAAAUCCCAUGGACGAGCUCGAGCUGGAAGGACGCGGACGGCAGCGGCUUGGACCAACAUCGUCCUGCCGGUGCCUUGCCGGUGAGCGCCACGCAUGGUGCAGCAGGCGGCAGGCACGACUUUGGGAGCUGCGCAUCGAGCGACGACUACUGCAUCUGCCGCCAGCACCAAGCCAAGAUGUAGAGCGGUGGUCGACGGCGGCAACCUGCUCCCAAGUUGCAAGUGAUGUUGCCAGAUAGCAGUAUACCAAGGGUUCUAAGAAUUUGAUUCAUAAAUGUAGCCAAGAUGCAGCGCGGUGGUCGACGGCGGCGGCCUGCUCCCAAGUUGCAGGUUGCUAAUGCUGUUCAAACAGGUGCGUGCAUGGACAUCUUCAUGAUUACUGAUUAUAAGAUCUUCAUGAUUACUGAUUAUAAGUGAACACACGUAUCUUCUCUCGAGGUUCUGAGUGUUGAGAGUGGUUGCUCAUUGUUUCUGUAUUCAAAUACUGAUGAAUCAACACUUCCAAAAGAUAUACUGAUGGCCAAAGAAGAUUGGGGAAGUUCCACUAUGUUCCUACAGACUGUUGGCCAAAAAAGAUUGGGGGAAAAUAGCUCUGGAGAAGGAUUGAGAUGAAAAUGGGAUUGGGAUCUCACUUCGCAAUGCAUUGAAGAAUCAUGGUAGAACUUUUUAUAUUGCUGACUGAGAUGGCGAUUAGGAUUUAUUGCUUUUUACUAAUUUUUUAUUUUUUCUACUUUGCUCAGAUAAUUUAUACAGCCUGUUCUUUCUUUAGUACCAAUGAAUAACUUGGUUACACAAUAUACUUGAAGAUUGCAUUAGGAACAAAAUGCUUAGCAGACCAAACUAAUUAGGUAAGCUGAGAGCUGAUUGGUCUAACCCUAGAAUAAUUGGUUGCCAGUCAUAGAAUCAUCUUGUACUGUUGUACAUAACUAAUUUUGACUUGAACUUUGGUGUGGUCGUGUAUCUUUGAAGUUUUCUGGAGACAGACUACUCUUGCAUCAUUAUGUGCAACCCACAUGUAUCUCACUCGGCGAGACAUGCACACCUAUGCCACAUCUUUACAUGUUUCACAAAAACAUAAACAUGAUUGGAUGGGCGUCCUUGCCGGCGACCUCGCUAUCUCCAACCCAUCCACAGAAAAUACCAAAGGAAGUAGCUUGUCGUUUGAAUAUCCCAAGCACGGACUGGUGGGACUACAGUUUGGCAAACAACGCUUCACUAUCUAGGACCGAGUAUGACGAACAAUCACAUGAUGUCUGCAUCUUGAUUAACAUGGAUACAAUAAAUUUCUCCUAAAAACAGGACUUGAGGUUGGUAUGGAUGUCCUGCUUACAUUCAAGAUGAACGUUGGCAAUGAUCUGUACAUGAUAGUUUGCUUCGAUGACAUCUGAGAGGUUUAUAGGUCCUAAUUGAGGUUGUCUUCAGUUCAUUAGUUUUUAUCUCUGCUAUGUUAGCUCUUUUGUGAGGGUCCAGUUUGCUGACCACCUUAGAAGAAACACGCACUUAGAUCAAAAGAUUUUCUUAUGUUAGGAGGUUUCCAUCCAAUCUUCUGAAGAUAGUUUGUUAAUAUAUGUGAUCAUGUACCAUGUGUUCCAUUGCAUAUGACAACUUUGUAUUGGACAUAUGUGGCCAAAGAUCUAUACUGAAACAUCUUGAGAAAUCAUCAGGGAGAAUACUAUGAAUGAGAAUGGACUAAGAAAUUGUGAUACACCUUCCUUUAGGUGCAUUUUCAUUCAGAUGGUGAUCCAGGUUUCUUGGAGCAGUACAUGCUAAUCACCAAUUUGUUUUCUGAUCUUUUUAGUACAAGGCUUUACCAAACUAUCAAUUGAAGUGCAGGUCAACCAAGACUUCAUAUACAUAGGCUGAAAGAUGAAAACUAAAGACCAUGGAGAAGAUCACACCAUAUUUAUCCUAGGAAAAACAACUGCAUGGUCACUUGACUUUACAGACAACACGCUGCACUAUUAAUUUUGGUUUAAUUGAUCGACAAUGCGUCUUUGUUAUUAGUUAUAUACUAAGGAACAUGCCUAUGAGUAUAUACUUAGGCUAUGUGUGAGACCAGAUUGUUAACAUAAUACUCUUAGUGAACCCCUAAUUUAUGUUGUCCCUAUGCUUUGGGAGGUUGCAGCUGACAUCCUCGACAAAAAUACCUCCUUAACAAUCGUUCCCGCUUUUCUUUACUUGAAAUUGUUUCUCUGCUCUAGGUGCAAGGAUCUGGGAUAGGUGUAUUUAGUUCUGCAAUGGCGAUGACACAUGUAAAUUAAACCAUUUGUUGUUUGUAUGUUGGAUCUUCCUAAAAACCAGAUGAUGUAUUUUUCACAGGAAAUAAACUUUGUAUUGUCAAACUUAGUUGAAUAACUCCCAGAUUUUAUCUACUUCACUGUUUUUGUGACACUCAUAGGCUGUUUGAUAAUAGGCCUAAAAACCUAGAUGUCUGAUAAUAGGCCUAAAAACCAAGAUGUUUGAUAAUAGGCCUAAAAACCAAGAUAAACUGAUGUUUUCACACCUUUGCUUUGCAUCUGUUUUGACCAGAAGAAAUUGCUUACAGAGUACCUUUCUUACAAAACCUUUCCUCUGCAAUUGUAUUAAGUUACUUUUGAUACCAAACUUUUGUUCUAACCUCAUUAGCAAACCUGAUGACCUGAUCCAAUUACUUACCUGUGUAAAGUGCAAACUUGUGUGCUCACUACCUAUUCUUCUCUUACUGGAGAUGCAUUCACCUGCGUUCCAUUCAAGAAACAGAUAGAUGUUACUAAUUCUAUCCAUGGUGAUUGCAGGCAUAGUUAACUUAUCCUUUGUGUAGUAUGAUUAUUAUACACACUCUUUUCAUUUCUGUUUUCCCCUCCUAAGCCAUUUAUUCUGUCUACCGCAGGUUGCUUGGUGUCCUCUCAUCGUGUCUAUUGGUGCAGUAUCACAUAUCCUCUCUCGAAGAGAUGAGAUAAGGAUUACAGGGCUACCAACAACCCACCUCACCUAUAAUGGAAGACAUCCUGAUUCAUUGUUGCAAGCUAGAGAACAAUAACUAUCAUGUUGGUGAUUUCCUUGAUAUAUGGUUCUACACGUGUGUCAUAUGGACCAAUGAAAGCAAAGAUAUUGCGGAGAUAAUAACUAUAUGGGCUACUCCAAAUGGAGUGGCAGUGGAACCAACACCUUUUAUAGGCCUUCAAGUACCUGUGUGGAAGUCUACCAUGCAAGCAUUAUCCGACGACUAACACUUUGCUUAUGUGUACAUAUCCUCUGAAGACCACAACCGGACUAAGAAGAUGUCUAAAUAAGCUGUGAGGCUGCCUAUAUAUAAGUCUAUUUCUGUAAAUUGAUAUCAGUUAUUCUACUAUCUGUAAACCAAUUUAAGUCAUUCUAUUGUCUGCAAUACAAUCCACAUUGCAUUAUCUUUC